rnacentral:rRNA from 1 species
UACGUAGGAGGCGAGCGUUGUCCGGAAUCACUGGGCGUAAAGCGUGUGUAGGCGGAUGACUAAGUUUGCUGUGAAAGCGCCUGGCUUAACCGGGCGAGGUCGGCGAAAACUAGUCGUCUGGAGGCCGGUAGAGGGGGGUGGAAUUCCGGGUGUAGUGGUGAAAUGCGUAGAGAUCCGGAGGAACACCCGUGGCGCAGGCGGCCCCCUGGGCCGCGCCUGACGCUGAGACGCGAAAGCGCGGGGAGCGAACGGG